rnacentral:lncRNA from 1 species
AUGACGGCAGCGCGGGAGGCUCCUCUCCCUCUCAAUCGUCUCACUCUUCUGCUCCGGAUCAACCUCGAGCUGCUCUCCCUCGACCACCUCUCGGGGAUUGGCCCGGUGAUAGGCCGCAAAUCGCCGUCGGUGGUAGACUGCGGUGGCAGGGAGUUCAGACUUCAGACGACGACUUCAGACGACUUGCGAGUGCGUGGCUGGCACGAGUCCCGGUCGACGCUUGACGUCAACAAAUCUCGCUUGUGGAAUUGUGGUGCUCUCGACAUAGGCCCUCACCCUGUUGAUGCGCGUCGGCUUGUCCGCUAAGAAAACCCAU